rnacentral:piRNA from 1 species
CAGUUGUGAGGCAAAGAAUAAAAAAGCAG